AUGUGGCUGUCUCUGCUCAAUUUAGCUACUUUUCAGUCAGCUGAGUUUUCACUUUUGCGUCAGUCAAUUUCUUGUCCGUUGGAUAGUGCUAUGGGAUGCGUCAUAUUUCAGUUUAUUCCCGUUUUAGAUUUGGGCCAAGUAGUAUCGACUAACCCGUCAGUCAAAUCGAUUUCUGCUCGGCUCGUGCUCCUCGCGGGGCGCCCGUUAAGCUGCCCGACCCGUUUGGAUGGAACGCAGACCGUCGCUGUUCUUCUCGUCUUACCCCUUCCUCCUUGGUUUCUGUCAGUCACUUCCCCCUCCCCCUCUCCGCCCCAGUCUCUCUUGGUCUCUGUCUUCUCCUCUUCCUGCCCCAAGCUAGGGAUUUACCAAUCGGGGGAGUUUCGUUGAUGACGGAUUGCCGUUGCUCCAUCUCCUCUUUUUCAGGCAUGGUUUGCCCUGUUUGUCGUUGUCCAGGUGCUCCUUGCGUACCAUUUCUGCGAGCGGAUGAAGUCCCUGAAGUUUUCGAUGUUGUCGUUGACGAGGAUUGCUUCAGAAGGAUGGUGAGUUGUCUUUAUCUUUUCUUAUAUUUAUCUCUUCUUUUUAUUUAUCAGUAUGUGUGUAUGUGUUUACUUAGGUAUUGCUUUCCUUGAUUGCUGAUAUGAAACCUAUGUACCUUUUCAUGUUGUCCCUGUGUGCUAUGAUCAACUCAUGCAAGUAUCGCUGUGUGCAUGUUUUCAUGUCUCAUACAGUGAGGUAGUCUGCAUUUUAAUCUUUGAUUUUUCUUGUAUAUAUCAUGAAGGUUCAUAUGAAAGUUGAUGUUAUGAACUGUGCGCAAGUUUAGUAUCAUGAACAUGCAACUUUUUAAUAACAGUCUUUGAAUUGUACGAAUUAGGUUUAUGAACUAGGUUCCAGUUGAUAUUGAUGAUUGCAUGUUAGUACAGUUAAAAUUUUGCGUAGGUUGAAAUACUUUGCACAUAUUUAUCUUUGUUCUCUAUUAAAUAUUAAUGUUGCUGUUGUAAAAUGUGUGCAGGCUUAGUAUCAUGAACCUGCAAUUAUUUAUUUAUUUUUUGAAUUUUUGAAGUAUGUGUUUGUUGUAGUUAUAGCUGUACUGUUUUUUAAAAUUCACUAUUGAUCAAUUCAUUCAAGAUUAGUUAUGCUUAUAACAAAUUUGUUGAUUUGUUCUUGUUUUUAUCCAGUGCAUGCCCUGCAAUGUGAGAGAUUUCCCCAUCUUUUUGUUGCUCUGUUUCAAACUCUGAUUCAUCACUCCUACUUGUGCCAUUUGAAUCUGUUGUUUCUGCAUGAUCAGGUCCUUGCAGUUCUCCCCGAUUGCUUUGUGCUAAUUCUUAUUUUUGAGUGGUCAACAAGUCUUGCUCAACAACUGUAUCAAAAUUGUUCCAACUCUGCUCUAAUAGCUGCAAUUCUGAACGCUCAUGAUUUCCACCGAAAUGACCACAACUCACUGUAUUUUGUUCCAGGUAAUCUUCCUCUGCAUCACUUUCAUUCUGUUCACUACUGAAUUCUAGUGUUGCUGUUCUUGUACCCCAUAGCUUUGUCCAAGUAGUGCGCCCUAUAAUGAAAGUUUCAACAGAGGUCAACACAUGAGAUACAACAGGAAUAUGGACCCUAUAAUUAAAGGAAAAGGGGGUGUGUGGUCAGAUUGUCAUUUACCUUGCAAUUACCAGAAGCAGCUUGUUCUCCAGAAAUAAGGGCGAUCGGAGAAGAAUCUGUUUCUAAGGAGGAAAUUUUAGGACAAGAUCUACAUAGAGGUGACACGAAUGCAACAAAAACUGAGGUCACCAGCAGCGUCCGUGGCGGCGGCUGGGAGGUAGGAGGUCGGGGAAGAAAUAGGAUGGAAGAAGACCUAGUGAUCUCAGUGUUAGGUGGAUCGUUUUGUUUUGAGCAGAGUGGGUUGCUUAGCGGGUCCAGGCCGGUUUUGCGUUUGGGCUUAACAAAAGGCAGAAACAGAUAACAUAAUUUUCUUCAAUCACACCUAAAAAAAUCUUCAGUC